AGAAGCGGCACGGCAAACCCCACCGGGAGCAAGACCGAAUAGGGGCGGUGCGAAGGGAAACCUUCGAGGGCUGUUUCCGGCCCACCGCCCGGGUAGGUUGCGUGAGGCGCAUGGCGACAUGCGCCCAAGAUGAAUGGCCGCCACGUUCCCGCGCCGCAAGGCGUGGGGGCCAUACAGAACCCGGCUUACAGGCCAGCUGGCAUU
rnacentral:RNase_P_RNA from 1 species